GAAAUGUGAGAAACAUACAAGGCAAGGCAUGUCAAGGUAAGGCAAUGCAAGCAAAAGGAAAGGGAAGACAAAUACAAGGCAACAAGAAGUAAGGAAAGGAAAGGAAAGAGAAAGCAAAGGCAAGGCAACAGAAGGGAAGAGAAGGCAAGGAAAAAUGAGGCAAAGGGAAGGCAAGGCAUGUCCAGGGAAAUCAAGGGAAGGCAACAAGGCAAAUGAAAGGUAA
rnacentral:lncRNA from 1 species